rnacentral:rRNA from 1 species
AGGUUAAGAGGAUGCGUCAGUCGCAAGAUGAAGCGUUGAAUUGAAGCCCGAGUAAACGGCGGCCGUAACUAUAACGGUCCUAAGGUAGCGAAAUUCCUUGUCGGUUAAAUACCGACCUGCAUGAAUGGCGUAACGAGAUGGGAGCUGUCUCAACCAGAGAUUCAGUGAAAUUGUAGUGGAGGUGAAAAUUCCUCCUACCCGCGGCAAGACGGCAAGACCCCGUGGACCUUUACUACAACUUAGCACUGCUAAUGGGAAUAUCAUGCG